rnacentral:rRNA from 1 species
AACGAACGCUGGCGGCAGGCUUAACACAUGCAAGUCGAGCGCCCCGCAAGGGGAGCGGCAGACUGGUGAGUAACGCGUGGGAAUCUACCCAUCCCUACGGAAUAGCUCCGGGGAACUGGAAUUAAUACCGUAUACGCCCUACGGGGGAAAGAUUUAUCGGGGAUGGAUGAGCCCGCGUUGGAUUAGCUAGUUGGUGGGGUAAAGGCCUACCAAGGCGACGAUCCAUAGCUGGUCUGAGAGGAUGAUCAGCCACAUUGGGACUGAGACACGGCCCAAACUCCUACGGGAGGCAGCAGUGGGGAAUAUUGGACAAUGGGGGCAACCCUGAUCCAGCCAUGCCGCGUGAGUGAUGAAGGCCUUAGGGUUGUAAAGCUCUUUCACCGGGGAAGAUAAUGACGGUACCCGGAGAAGAAGCCCCGGCUAACUUCGUGCCAGCCGCCGCUGUAA